UACAGAGGGUGCAAACGUUGCUCGGAAUUAUUGGGCGUAAAGCGCACGUAGGCGGCCUGGUAAGUCUCACUGUGAAAGCCCGGGGCUCAACCCCGGGAGGCCAGGGGAUACUGCAAGGCUGGAGACAGGUAGAGGCUGGUAGAAUUCCGGGUGUAGCGGUGGAAUGCGUAGAGAUCCGGAGGAAUACCUGAGGCGAAGGCGGCCAGCUGGGCCUGAUCUGACGCUGAGGUGCGAAAGCGUGGGGAGCGAACAGG
rnacentral:rRNA from 1 species